CACCGGCGGACGGCUCAGUAACACGUGGACAACCUACCCUCGGGUGGGGGAUAACCUCGGGAAACUGAGGCUAAUACCCCAUAGGUCUCAGGUACUGGAAGGUCCUGAGACUGAAAGCUCCGGCGCCCGAGGAUGGGUCUGCGGCCUAUCAGGUAGUUGGUGGUGUAAAGGACCACCAAGCCUACGACGGGUACGGGCCCUGAGAGGGGUAGCCCGGAGAUGGACUCUGAGACACGAGUCCAGGCCCUACGGGGCGCAGCAGGCGCGAAACCUUCGCAAUGCGCGAAAGCGCGACGAGGGGAGCCCGAGUGCCCUUCCUUUUGGGAGGGCUUUUCCGGAGUCUAAAAAGCUCCGGGAAUAAGGGCUGGGCAAGACGGGUGCCAGCCGCCGCGGUAAUACCCGCAGCUCGAGUGGUGGCCACUAUUAUUGAGCCUAAAGCGUCCGUAGCCGGACCCGUAAAUCCCUGGGUAAAUCCUGGCGCUUAACGUCAGGAAUUCCGGGGAGACUGCGGGUCUUGGGACCGGGAGAGGCCGGAGGUACUCCCGGGGUAGGGGUAAAAUCCUGUAAUCCCGGGGGGACCACCUGUGGCGAAAGCGUCCGGCUU
rnacentral:rRNA from 1 species